rnacentral:tRNA from 1 species
CGCUCGGUAGCUUAGUUGGUAAAGCGCUCGUCUAGCAUACAAGAGUUCUGGGUUCCAAUUCCCAACCGAGCAC